CUCUUCUUGAAUAUAUUUUGAUGUAUGGCCUGCCCACUGAAUAUUAAAGGGCCGCGGUAUUUUGACCGUGCAAAGGUAGCAUAAUCAUUAGUCUUUUAAUUGUAGGCUGGAAUGAAUGGUUUGACGAGGUGUUAACUGUCUUUAAUUUUUUUUAUUGAAUUUAAAUUUUAGGUUAAAAUGCCUAAAUAUUUUUUUGGGACGAGAAGACCCUAUAGAGUUUAAUAUAUUUUUAUUUUUUUGUGUGUUAAUUUUUGAUGUAAAAAUUUAUUUUGUUGGGGUGAUGGGAAGAUUGAAUUAACUCUUUUUGUUUUAUUAUAUUUAUUUAUAUAUAUUUGAUCCAUUUUUAUUGAUUAUAAGACUAAAUUACC
rnacentral:rRNA from 1 species